rnacentral:rRNA from 1 species
CCUACGGGGGGCAGCAGUGGGGAAUAUUGCACAAUGGGGGAAACCCUGAUGCAGCGACGCCGCGUGCGGGAUGAAGGCCUUCGGGUUGUAAACCGCUUUCAGCAGGGACGCGGUACCUGCAGAAGAAGCACCGGCUAACUACGUGCCAGCAGCCGCGGUAAUACGUAGGGUGCAAGCGUUGUCCGGAAUUAUUGGGCGUAAAGAGUUCGUAGGCGGUUUGUCGCGUCCGUUGUGAAAGCUUGGGGCUCAACCCCAAGUCUGCAGUGGAUACGGGCAGACUAGAGUCAGGUAGGGGAGAACGGAAUUCCUGGUGUAGCGGUGAAAUGCGCAGAUAUCAGGAGGAACACCGGUGGCGAAGGCGGUUCUCUGGGCUGACUGACGCUGAGGAACGAAAGCGUGGGGAGCGAACAGGAUUAGAUACCCUUGUAGUC